CGCCAUUCAUACUAAUUGCCACCAUACAUAUAUGAAUGGGAACUGCAGGAAUUAUACCAAAGAUGGAUAUCCUUGCUGAAGAGACUAUUUGGGUUCUGUGGAAUGAUAGAAGAUCAGCAGGUUGAGCAGUACCUGUGGGAGAAAAGGGAUUAUUGACAUUUUGGGUUGAAACUCUGCAUGGAAACUCCAUUGUACUAUUCUGCUGCAAAGUCUCUUCAAGUCCUUGAAAAGGCAGAGGUCACCAGCAUUGAGGCUAUGCUGUUGAAGACGGAGCUGCGCUGGGCAGGGCACGUCUCCAGGAUGGAGGAUCAUUGCCUGCCCCAGAUUGUGCUGUAUGGUGAACUCUCCACUGGCCACCAUGACAGAGGGGCACCAAAGAAGAGGUACAAGGACUCUCUGAAGAAAUCCCUUGGUGCCUGUCACAUUGCCAAUUGCCAGUGGUCUAAUCUAGUCUCCAAUCGCGAGGCCUAGUGACACACCAUUCACCAGUCUGUCUCCUCCUUCGAGAACGCACGCAGGGCUGGCAAUGAGGAUAAAAGGAGAAGGAGGAAGAACCGUGACACAGCAGCACCAAACCCAGAACAGAAUUUCCCUUGCAGCCACUGUGGCCGGGCCUGCUUUUCCCGAAUUGGCCUCGUCAGCCACCAGCGAGCCUACAUCAGAUGUGGGCAGUCCCCUUCCUAAAUCUUCGUUCGCGAAGCCAAGCCAUGAUGAUGAUGAUGAAUGUCCACAAGAGAAUGAAUCUCAGGGAAUAUAUGGUCUUCUAAAGCCUUUGGUAGAAAACCAGCAGCAAAGUAAGGACUUCUAGCCAGCAUCAACAAUCGCACAGUCAUAGCAUCAGCUUCUGUACAUUGAAGCACAGAAUUGUGGAGCGUGCUGAAGGCUUGGGCACAGAAAGUUCAAGAAUGAGGCCUCCAGCUGGCUUACAACCUAAUACAGGAAAUAAUGAUGGUUUCAAGUUUUCUUUCCACAUUUUCUGCCUUUUUGUCACAUUUGGUAUGUGACGCCGAACCAAGUUAUCAGACGAUUAAUGCCGAUGAGAGAGAUAAAGGAGACUAUGGAGAAACAUUCAAAACUUUAAUGGGAGAGGAGAAGAAAGAUUAACGGAAAAGAAACACAUUUCAGAAUGUUGACAGACCGGUUGCUUUGAACCUGAACUGUUUGAAGUUUGAUGGACAGGUGAUACCCCAGCAGGGGGAUAAAAAGAACAGGUUCGCUAAGGCACGGGACACACCACGAGAUCGCGAGAUAAAAAGACCCAGGAAGAGCGGUGUGCCCCCACAAGUUGGUGGAAGUUUGGAGGUCUGGUUCGUGGGAACCGACCAUAGACUCACAGGGUGUAAAGGUACGAUUGGUGGGAACCUGGUGUGUGUGUCCGCCCUUGUCUGGGUACCGGGUUCACCGCGGAAGAACAGUCGUAUCCAGAACGGAGGGGUCACAGUCGGUGACCACAGCGGGAUAGAAGACAUAAAAGGGUCCGCCCAAAACCAACUGCGAAGAACAUCAAAGGUCUGCCUGAAUCAAAUUUGCAUCCCCCCCCUCCAAUGGCACAACAGCGAUUACUGCGAACUGUACUAAGCUGAUCUGAACUCUGUGUCACUUAAGACUGAUCAUUUUACCCCUAAACUGCGAUAGAGCUUGGUUUGAUUCCUAUUACCCUAGUUCUGUGUACACGUGUGUAUUAUCA